AUUGAACGCUGGCGGAAUGCUUUACACAUGCAAGUCGAACGGCAGCACGGGGGCAACCCUGGUGGCGAGUGGCGAACGGGUGAGUAAUACAUCGGAACGUGCCCGGUCGUGGGGGAUAACGUAGCGAAAGUUACGCUAAUACCGCAUACGAUCUGAGGAUGAAAGCGGGGGACCUUCGGGCCUCGCGCGAUCGGAGCGGCCGAUGUCAGAUUAGGUAGUUGGUGGGGUAAAGGCCUACCAAGCCGACGAUCUGUAGCUGGUCUGAGAGGACGACCAGCCACACUGGGACUGAGACACGGCCCAGACUCCUACGGGAGGCAGCAGUGGGGAAUUUUGGACAAUGGGCGCAAGCCUGAUCCAGCCAUUCCGCGGGCAGGACGAAGGCCUUCGGGUUGUAAACUGCUUUUGUAUGGAACGAAAAGGCUCUGGCUAAUACCUGGGGCUCAUGACGGUACCGUAAGAAUAAGCACCGGCGAACUACGU
rnacentral:rRNA from 1 species